UACGAAGGGGGCUAGCGUUGCUCGGAAUCACUGGGCGUAAAGCGCACGUAGGCGGAUUGCUAAGUCAGGGGUGAAAUCCUGGAGCUCAACUCCAGAACUGCCCUUGAUACUGGCGGUCUCGAGUCCGGGAGAGGUGAGUGGAACUGCGAGUGUAGAGGUGAAAUUCGUAGAUAUUCGCAAGAACACCAGUGGCGAAGGCGGCUCACUGGCCCGGUACUGACGCUGAGGUGCGAAAGCGUGGGGAGCCAAACAGG
rnacentral:rRNA from 1 species